AAUAAGACAAAAUAGACUGACUAGCACUGCAAGCAACAUGGAGGUUGAGGCUGCCAUAAAACGGUGGUUGCAUCUUGCCUCUGACCGUGAUGGAGGGAGGAAAGCUCGUGAGGGUCGAGCUGGUGUUGCUGCACACAGUCACCAAAUUUGACGGAUGUUAUGCUAUACCCAAGGACUUCUGCUUUAUCACCUUCAUUUCACACAGACA